rnacentral:tRNA from 1 species
UAUCUUAUAGUUCAAUGGUUAGAACAUUACUCUUCUAAAGUAAUUAUUUUGGUUCGAUUCCAAAUGAGAUAA